UGGACGUGACGCUGCCACGUACGAUAUAUAAAAUCUAACUUUAAUAAUAUAAUACAUGACGCAGCCUCUUCAGGUUAGAGGAGAAGUUUCCUCUCUCUUCUCUUCACUCGUUCAUUUUCACCUCAGUCUUCUGGGUCACGUGCAGUGCUCCAGCGAGGAGCAGUGACUGAUGGGUAAUUUUUCUUGAUGAACUGAGCUUGCUCCUACACUUCUGAUCACGCUACGGUCCACGACUGCAACUCAUAACAAACCCAUAUGAUUGACUUGUUCUCCGUCACUUGGGCAACAUCAUGACCAUCAUCAUCCUCCUCUUCAUCACACAACUGCGCCAUCAUGAGGUCAAGCGGUCCUUCAUCCAUGAUCUAAACGUUGAGGUUCACAACAAUGAAGAGAUCGAUGUUUCCCAGAAUCACAUGAACGCAUCAUCCAUUUAAAACAUCACUGAAACUUUAUUGAAACAUACAUUUGUUAACUUUCACGUUUGCAAUAAAUAAAAAAAUGUAGUAGAAAUGUUCGGCUGCUGUUUCAUCUUUUCAGGUGUGAAUCAAAACUGACUCAAGUGUCACUG